CCCAUAAUUACCUCCCUAUACUAAACAAAGCAACAGAGGAACUAAAUAAAUGGAGCUCCCUCUACACGUUGUGGCUAGGCAGAGUAAAUGCCGUCAAGAUGACGCUACUACCGAAACUUCUCUUCAUGUUCCAAACUUCAAGACACUACAGGCAGAGGUCCGCACGUUAAUAUGGAAGGGCAAAUCCGCACGCAUAGCGCACGAUCAAUUAACC